rnacentral:lncRNA from 1 species
AAUAUUGGUAUGAUUAUGUUUGUUUACAAAUUUUAUAUUUUGUUUAAGUUAGGAUGGCGCGUAGUAAUGUGGCUAUUGUAGUUCAUUAGAAUGGAGAAAUAUUGGCGUACGAUAACAAUCCAAAGUACGUUGGCAGUCGUAAGAAAUUAAGUGGUAUUGCCGUGGAUAUUAAAUUUACAGAAUUCGAGAGAAAAAUAUAUAGAUUAACUAAUACUCCGAGAAAUGAGUAUCGUCUAAUUAUCAAAGUCCAAUAUUCGAUCGGGAUGAAUCAAUUCGAGUGUUGUGCCUUUGGUACACUACUACAGAUCAAAUCACUAUAACUUAGUUUCUUUUAUUAAUAACUUAUAACUUAUAACUUAGUUUCUUUUACUAAUUUUAUAGUUAACUUUUUUUGUUCUUAGAUAU